rnacentral:rRNA from 1 species
UACGUAGGGUGCGAGCGUUAAUCGGAAUUACUGGGCGUAAAGGGUGCGCAGGCGGUUAUAUAAGACAGAUGUGAAAUCCCCGGGCUCAACCUGGGAACUGCGUUUGUGACUGUAUGACUAGAGUACGGUAGAGAGGGGUGGAAUUCCUGGUGUAGCAGUGAAAUGCGCAGAUAUCAGGAGGAACACCAGCGGCGAAGGCGGCGCUCUGGGCCGGAACUGACGCUGAGGCACGAAAGCGUGGGGAGCAAACAGG